AAAGGGAGACCUAAUUCGGGUAUAAGACGAAAAAAUAGUAGUCGAAACCAAGAAUCAAUCCCAAAAGGUCGGAACGAGGUAUGUGGCUUUCAAACUAGGUUCUGGGUUCAUAAAAGACCUGAAUCAGGAACAAGGGCUAUUAGCUCAGGUGGUUAGAGCGCACCCCUGAUAAGGGUGAGGUCCCUGGUUCGAGUCCAGGAUGGCCCACCUGCACAGGUGGCAAAAACAAGAGAAGCGAGGAAUCAGCACCUUAUCCUAAUUUAUAUAUAGGAGAGAAUGCUGGCUCUGAGUAAAGAGUCCAGAGGAACCUUGAAAACUGCAUAGAGCUAGGUGAAAAAGCCAAAAAAGAAGACCGCAAG
rnacentral:tRNA from 1 species